rnacentral:lncRNA from 1 species
GUACCACAUGUGGAAGCGAGUUUGGAAACUUUUCUGCAGCCAAAAUCUGUGCGAAAAUAACUAUCAAUAGUAAAACUAAAUCUUUUAACUUGAAAUAAAUCUUUUACGGAUUUUGACAGACGACAUAUAUAAACUGCAUUAAGGUGUUCACUAUGCAACAAUUGGAGCACCAUGGCAUUGGCAUCAGGGCAACCGUUGACACGCAAAUUCUGCAAUUUUUCAGCCUUGAUGUUGAAGUUGUUAACAUUGCGACAACCAUAAAGUAUCAAAUUCUUAAGUUGUGGUAAGCAAUGUUGUAGAAGGCGCUAGGCGCUAGUCGGGCGGUGAGUUCCACCUAAAUUAACCCCGAAAUCAACAUGCAUUAAUUUAAUAUCUUGAAGAUUGGGAAAUCCCUUAAACGCAGGUGGUGGCUUGAAAAUACAGGUAAACAAGUUCAGCUUUGUCAAUUGUAGACAAGAGAAUACGGAGGAUGGAAUAUGAUAAACCCGAUUGGAGUUCACAAUGUGGAGUUCCCUAACAUUAUUCCUUGAUAGGAUUAACAUCCAUUGAUCAACUUCUUUGAGACUAUCAAGAAAUAUCUCUUUUGGUAUAUGGAGAACAAAUUUGAAAAUGGGACCACUGUGAAGGAUCAUAAUCUGGUUUAAAACCCUAAUAAACCCAUUACAACUGAAGGCUCCAGUUUUUAAAAACUGUUGAGAGAAUUGCUUAUAGAGAAACAGUGUCUUCAUAGUGGUCCAUCUGUAUCUCCACUUUCUAGAUAAAACACUUGUCCUUACAGCAUCUUUAACUGGGAGCCGCUCUAAAAUCGGGUCUAGCAAAUCCUCAGGCAAGUUACUGAUUAUGUCCUUGUCAGCAGAGGAGCUUACAAACCUCCUCCUUGUAUGACGAUUAUCUAUCAUUACAUUCAACAAAACCAUGACUUCAAAAGUAAACAGAGUUUAUGAAUUUAACUAGAAUCUAGAACAAUGCUUGUUUAGAGAACACUAUGAAAUCACAUAAUAGAGGAUAGUUUGAACAGAAUCUCACUAAAACGUAAACAACAAUAUAUUAUAAUGAUAAUAAAAGAAAGAGAUACAAUAAUGCAGGUGUGUGAACUAGUACAACUUACCCAUGAAUUGGAAACUCUCAAGCGAUCAACUAGUUGG